rnacentral:rRNA from 1 species
UACGUAGGGUGCAAGCGUUGCUCGGAAUCACUGGGCGUAAAGGGCGCGUAGGCGGGAUGGCAAGUCGGUCGUGAAAUCCUUCGGCUCAACCGAAGAACGUCGGCCGAUACUGCCGUUCUUGAGGGAUGCAGAGGAGAUUGGAAUUCCCGGUGUAGCGGUGAAAUGUGUAGAGAUCGGGAGGAACACCGGUGGCGAAGGCGGGUCUCUGGGCAUCUCCUGACGCUGAGGCGCGAAAGCGUGGGGAGCAAACGGG